rnacentral:rRNA from 1 species
UACAGAGGGUGCGAGCGUUAAUCGGAAUUACUGGGCGUAAAGCGCGCGUAGGCGGCUUUGCAAGCCGGAUGUGAAAUCCCCGGGCUUAACCUGGGAAUUGCGAUGGAGACUGCAAGGCUGGAGUCUGGCAGAGGGGGGUAGAAUUCCACGUGUAGCAGUGAAAUGCGUAGAGAUGUGGAGGAACACCGAUGGCGAAGGCAGCCCCCUGGGUCAAGACUGACGCUCAUGCACGAAAGCGUGGGGAGCAAACAGG